GACAGAGGGGGCAAGCGUUGCUCGGAAUCACUGGGCGUAAAGGGCGCGUAGGCGGGAUGGCAAGUCGGUCGUGAAAUCCUUCGGCUCAACCGAAGAACGUCGGCCGAUACUGCCGUUCUUGAGGGAUGCAGAGGAGAUUGGAAUUCCCGGUGUAGCGGUGAAAUGCAUAGAUACAAUCAAGAACACCGAUUGCGUAGGCAGCUAACUAGGCUGUAACUGACGCUGAGGCACGAAAGCGUGGGGAGCGAACAGG
rnacentral:rRNA from 1 species